CCCGGGUGGAGCUGGCUGAGUCGCGCGCUCUGCUCCACCCGACGGGGCUGUGUGUGCUGGGCCUGGCUCGCGGCGAACCGAGAUGGCAGAGCAGUCGGACGAGGCCGUGAAGUACUACACCCUAGAGGAGAUUCAGAAGCACAACCACAGCAAGAGCACCUGGCUGAUCCUGCACCACAAGGUGUACGAUUUGACCAAAUUUCUGGAAGAGCAUCCUGGUGGGGAAGAAGUUUUAAGGGAACAAGCUGGAGGUGACGCUACUGAGAACUUUGAGGAUGUCGGGCACUCUACAGAUGCCAGGGAAAUGUCCAAAACAUUCAUCAUUGGGGAGCUCCAUCCAGAUGACAGACCAAAGUUAAACAAGCCUCCGGUAAGUGUGACCAUCUCAAGUAUCUCUGGAUGUUCUCGUUGUAUUUAAUACUUGUCAAACUGAAGGCAGAGGGUUUUUAUUUACCUGACUGAUGCCAGCACAGGUCUUUCUAGAUAAAUGAAUAUGUAACCUACUGGCUCAGCAAGUAUUUUUUAUUUACGGAAACCUGUCAGUAUGAUUUGUUAGGAUGGCGUGUGUGUAAUUUUUUUAAGGCUGUCAGUAAACUACUUUUUUCAUCAUAAUUAUCAAUAUAUACCGUUUGAAGAGCUACUUUUUAUGGUAGCACGUGCUUCUGAUCUAAAAGAUUUGACACAAGCCUUAUUUUCAGAGAACUUAAAAUCUGAAUGGAUAGUGGUUUUAUUACUUAAAUCUUUAAGGGUGUGUCUCAUGUCUUCUUCAUCUUUAAGUCUCUUGGGCAUAGUAGGUGUUCAAUAAAUACUUGUCAGAUGAAUUUAAUGAAAUUAAAUAAUACCCUUUUGACUUACUUUUCCUUGGGAAAGGAAAAUAACUCUGGCAAUACUAGUUUUAUGUUCUGAUUCACUAGCCUUUCUCUCUGAACUGACCAUCUCACUUAUAUUUGAAGAUAAAUGUAGGGUGAGAAUGGAAGAGCACAGCCUAAGUUCCUGAAAAGUACAAGUAGGCAAAAUAGUUUCUAGUGUCUAAUUAAAGGACUACAGGGGAAAGUUUUGCUUAAAUCAAAUGACAAAAAAGAAAGUAUAAUUUUUCGUUUUGGUGUAAAUUCUUGGUUUCAUUAGAGAAAGUGCAACAGCAAGACCCCACUGAGCUUGUGUCGAGAACUGGUAAGCUGAUUUUUUGAGCUGUUGCUGCCAAGACAUCGUCUUUAAUCUACAAAAGGAUCAAAGCAGUUAAUCCAAUAAUAUAAGCAUAAAGGCCACAUUUACCUCAACAUCCCUGAUAGUACAAUAAAAGUCUUGUGUAAUACUGUUUAGUACAAAGCAAUUUUAUUUAUAUUCUCUCCUUAUUCAAGAAAGACUUAAGUUCAAUGUGAAUGAUAUGAGUACUUCCAGAAGAUAAAAAGUUGACUUCAGAAUUUCAAUGGCCUCUGUGACAAUUGCUUAGAAUCCUUGCUGUGAGUUCAUUUGACUUUAGCAUCUUUUUUGAGGCUACUUUUUGGACAGCUGAAAUUCUGUGAUGCAUAAAGUUUUUCCUUUUUCUCUGAAGUCUCUUAAGGGAAGAAUAUAUAUUUUUUUUAUCAUGUGUUCAGCAUGUUAAUCAUUUUGGUAUAAGUCAUUUAGCUAUAGCAAAACAAAGGUUUAAGAUUCAUUAGAUGAACUUAGAUGACCGCAGGGCCAGCCGUCUCCCUAACCAUAAAGACUACAAGCAGAAAACACUUGUAGGUGGAAGAUUGUACACGUGUCUCCUGCCAUAACUACUUUCAGUUUAAAGGACAAAGACUUUCUUCCUUAUUUGCUUUUAGAACACGUGUAUUACAGCCUAUACUCUGUUGGAUUAAUUGCCCAUUACUAUUUAUUGCUCUUAUUUUCUAUUUUAAAGUGGCAGUUACUUUGAUACUGAGAAUAUUUUGGGAACAGAGCAAGUUUAUGUGGUAAAUUCUGGGACUUUAGCUUUUAGUAUCAAAGAAAACUUUCCUGACAACAUUGAGUGACAGCCCUUUGUGUGUUAAGACAUGGCUUACUUCAUUCCAGCAUUAGCAGUUGAUACUUGUUCAGCUUGUUAGAUGUAGAAGGUCUCACUGAAGUUUGAGAAUCACACUAACUUUUUAAAGUAGAUUUUUGUUUGUUUGUUUUUGAGACGGAAUUUUGCUCUUGUCACCCAGGCUGGAGUGCAAUGGCGUGAUCUCGGCUCACUGCAACAUCCACCUGCUGGGUUCAAGCAAUUCUCCUGCCUCAGCCUCCCGAGUAGCUGGGAUUACAGGUGCCUGCCACCAUGCCCAGCUAAUUUUUGUAUUUUUAGUAGAGAUGGGGUUUCACCAUGUUGGCCAGGCUUGUCUUGAACUCCUGACCUCAGGCAUUCGCCUGCUUCAGCCUCCCAAAAUGCCGAGAUUACAGGCGUGAGCCACGGCACCCCGCCUAAAGUAGAUGUUUUUACUCUCUUCAGAGAUUUUACAGAUUAACUAACUUCUGAGUAUUUUUUAAACAACUCUUCUUUAUUGUGACUUUGCUUCAGUGAGAGCAGAACCGGAAGAAUGUGGGACAAGAACUUGCUGGCCUUUUUGAGAGGCCAUAAGCAGAUGAAAUGAAAGGAAAUACAUGAGCAUUUUUCUGGAUGUAUCUUUCUUGUGCUUUUGGUUUAGUGGAAGUAAAGAGUGUCCUUAGGGAUUUCUUUUGUCAUGUGUCUGUAUAACCAUCGGCCGAUCUCCAGGUUGAAGAAUGUACACUGUGGUCUGAAGUUUUGAGAUGUUGCCUGCUUAAAAUAUCUAGUUGAAUAGUGAAAUAAAAUGCAGUAAAGAUUAUUAGCUUGAACCUGCCCUGAGGAAAGCAUAGUGUUAAGUUACCAAAUUAAGAUAUUUGUAGACUUAGAAAUCAUGCAUUUUAAUCUAACAUAAAUGUUUCUAUCACAUUUGCUUACAUAGAGAAUAUUAGUCGUAGCAAUACCCCGUCUUGGUUAUAGUUUUGAAAGCAUUCUUGUAGAAGUUAUUUGGUCCUCACAGUGUCUCCAUGUUAGACCUGCCAAGGGAGGUAGGUACAUUGCAGCUGGGAAGUGUUAAGCACCCGGCUCACAGACAUGCUCCAGAACCAUCUAGCACCCAUCUCAGGCUGGUCAGUUGCAGUCCCUUAAGCUUCUCCUCUAGGUUCUGGGCUUGCCGUGUUAGACAUCACUCUGUCAGUAUUUUAAGGGAGAUAGGCUUCCCACUAAAGUUUACAUUAGAUGAACUUAUAAAUGAGAUGACUCUGAUUCACAAAAGCUUGUUGGGCUUUGCAUGCUUUUCAUAAUUUAUGGAGCUUACUGUAAUUUACACUGAUUCACAUGACUUUUAUAAGUCAUUAUGCAUGACAUACUUACUUUACUUUUUUGAGACGGGGUCUCACUCUGUUGCCCAGGCUGCAGUGCAGUGGCAUGGAUCUGGACUCACUGCAACAUCCACCUCCCGGGGUCAAGCAAUCCUCCCACCUCAGCCUCCCGAGUAGCUGGACCAUAGGCACACAGCACUGUGCCCAGCUAAUUUUUGUAUUUUUCUGUAGAGACAGGGUUUCGCCAUGUUGCCCAGACUGGUCUCGAACUGCUGGACUCAAGCAACCCGCCAAUCUCGGCCUCCCAAAGUGCUGGGAUUACAGGCCUGAGCCACCAUGCCCAGACUUUGACACACUGAUUUAAUUGUUAACCUCUUUUUACUGAAGUUGAACCUCGAAGUCAUGGAGUGAACAGGUGGCAGAGCCAAUCAUAAAAACCAUAUUCUUUCUCCUUGUUCAUUGCUGACAUUCUUUGAUAGUCACGUCCCUAAACCUAAGUGAGGCCCUCAGAGCACUGACCACUAAAGACCAAUUACUUUUUCGUCAAAGUGCAAAGUGGUAAUUCAAACUUCCUUUAACUGUCAAGCAUCCUGGGCUACAGAGCCAAGAAGAUAAUCAACAAUCAAAAGGUGAUACGAUUAUUUCAAGUUCCCCUCUUUAGAGUUCAUGGCUGUUGCUGAUGAUGCUGGUGCCAGAGUAGUGUUUUAACCUUAGCGCUCUCCCAUGGUAACCACAAAGGCAGCAGGAGGGCAGGUGGGAGGUUCCAGAGUUGUCAGCACGUUGGUGAAAUGCCUGCCCUCAUUUUAACGACGCCGUGGAUGUUUGUAUUUGCCUUCCGUUGGCUGUUUCAAACUUAACUUUCUAGUUUGACAAUCAUAUUUUACCUUCAGUGAUUCUUUUGUUUCAGAACUGAUUGUGUCCUCUAAUAGCUAACUAAUAUUUUUGUAUAUUUUGAUUAUUUCUAGUAAUUUUUGUUAAUUUUAUUCAUAUAUACACAAUUUGGAAAAUCCUCUUGCUGUAGUUAUGAAUACUUUUUAUAGAAGCUAAGAUUUUAAAAUUGCUGGAAUAGAUAAUAAAUUUGCAAUUUUAUUUUUAAAUGACUUACCUUUUCUCCCCUACUGUGUCAGGAACCUUAAAGGCGAUGUUUCAAGGUUGGUGGGUCUCAUAACUGCUUUGCUGGCUUUUCCCUGAAAGGGGUCUGUCUUUUCACGGGAGUUUCUCUAACGUGCUUUGCAGAGUGAUGCUUGCCUUACUGCAGCCCGCUGAUUGUUUUGCUAAUGCUUUUUAUCUUUGCUUUGGGAAACUGCAGAUCUGAAGCUGUCUUAUUUAUGGCAACUUCUGUUUGAGGCCCUAAUGCUUCUGUUGGUGUGGAACAUCAAAAGAAUGCUUCUUAACCCAUUUUCAAGCCCCAAAAAGUUUAUAUUUCACUAGACCUUAGCUUUUCAGCUGUUUGGAGAAGUAUGCGUUUUUCCAGAACCAUUGUCCAUUCACUUUAGUGCUACUCAAAAGAGUUGCUCCCAGAAAGCUCUGGAGGAUAAAAACAGGGCUUCCUUAUCUGGGGAUUUGCUGUUAGGCUGACAGUGACCAGCUGGUGACAAGUGUGACGCCGGGCACAGCAGUCCUGUGACGCUGGUCUGGUGUCUUGCUGGUUCCGUCUGGUCAGAAUUAAAGCAGCCCCCCGGGAAAGUUGGCCUAGAAUGUAGAACUUAAAAUGGCAGUCCUCUUUUUUCUUUUUGGUUCACAUAUAUUUAAUGUAAUUUAGGUACACUUUUUUACAUCUGUCAGAUUUGAAUGAAAUAACUGAUGUUUUUAUUGAACAUUGUGUUCAUGCUUUUGAAGAAUUAAACUGCUUUUUCUAAAGGUGACGUGGGAUUGUGUGUAUGUGAACAUCAAUGUCUGUUUUCAGUUUCUGCAUUAUUUAGAUGCCUAGCGUGUGCAAGAUAUUUUAUGUAGCAUAUUAAUUUUGAAUGUUUUUAAAUUAUUGAGGUUAUGUCCUUAAGUAAAUAUAAUGAUUAAAAUGUUUUAUUCUGGAAGAAAACAAAGUUAGGCAUUUUAGUGAAAAGAAGUUUAUAAUUUUCCCUUUCGACAUCUUCUGAAGAAUGCAUUGCAUAAAAUAUUGUGUUCUUAUUUUCAAACAGGAUUUUAGUCAAUGAAAUAAGUUCAGCAUUCCCUUGAACUUACUUUACUUUUUCCUCUCGUGUUUCAGGAAACUCUUAUCACUACUAUUGAUUCUAGUUCCAGUUGGUGGACCAACUGGGUGAUCCCUGCCAUCUCUGCAGUGGCCGUCGCCUUGAUGUAUCGCCUGUACAUGGCGGAGGACUGAACACCUCCUCAGAAGUCAGCGCAGGAAAAGCCUGCUUUGGACACGGGAAAAAAGAAGCCAUUGCUAACUACUUCAACUGACAGAAACCUUCACUUGAAAACAAUGAUUUUAAUAUAUCUCUUUCUCUUUCUUCCGACAUUAGAAACACAACAAAAAGAACUGUCCUUUCUGCGCUUGAAUUUUUCGAGUGUGCCUUUUUAUUCAUCUACUUUAUUUUGAUGUUUCCUUAAUGUGUAAUUUACUUAUUAUAAGCAUGAUCUUUUAAAAAUAUAUUUGGCUUUUAAAGU
rnacentral:sRNA from 1 species